ACUCUAAUCAUUUUUAUGAACAAAAUUUCUAAAAGAAAUUGCCUCUUCUUUUCACAGGAAAAUUAGGUACAGGCAUAACUACCCGGGCACACGCACAGGAAACUCUGAAAAAAACAAAACCAACAGAAGAACCACACAAAAAAUUUGCCAUUUAUGCUCAGAAAACCUUCCGACGCAUGAAAGCUUGGAAUCCCCCUCUAAAAAAUGCCCCCGUGAGCUUACUUGUUAAAAGUUUCAAUCAGGAAGGAACUGGUACUUCAAAAGAAACAGACAAUCCAAAAAUUUUACAAAGUGGUCAAGCAUUUACCAACAAAAUUGAGCUGAAAAAUGUACAAGUGUCAGAGAAAAUCAGUUGCUGCCCUACCAGCCCGAAACUUAAAGAUUCUGAAAACCCGUAUGUCAAUGAAAGUUCAUUGAAAAGUACUCAUGUGGAUGUUUGCAAUGCAGGCGACAGAAAUCAGUCAGAGAGCAGAGACCAACACGAAGCACUGAAUUGUUUUGGAGGAAACAUUGAAUGCCCAUUGACUCUACAAGACAAAGAAAAAUCCAGAGAAAUUAUGAGAGAAAGUCAGAGAGAAAUAAUAAGCAAUCAAGCAUUUGAAUUAAUACCAAUUUCUGAUCAAAAGGUGCUCAGCGAAGACAAUAAUAAUCUAAAAGCUACGGCAGACUUGGAGUUGCAAGAGCAAAGUGAUAAGAAAAUUGAAUCAGUUGAAGAACCUGAUAAUCUUUCCAGAAAAGUUUGCGUAGAUAUGGUGAAAACAAAAGCGAUCGAUUUUGUUGAAACCUCCUUUACUGAAAAAACCUAUGACGAUGAUCACUUACAGACAUUUAAAAAUGAGGAGUAUUUUAGUUCUAUCGAUAAAAAUGAGGAACUUUGUCGUGAUACAAUGCUUGGAGGACUAGACCUGGAUAAGGGGGAACUCAAGAACGUAAAUCAGGAGAAAGGGGGUGACGAUAUGCAAAAUAUUCGCGACCGAAAAGGAGAUUUACAUUUUGAUAAAACAACAAAGACAGAUGGAGAUAAAUCAUCAGAUGAACUCAGCUCUGAUGAUGACUUGGAUGACAUAGUUUCAAAAGCAAUUGAUAAAUAUAUGAACGAAGAGGUAUUAGCGAAAGGACGGGAUGAGAUUCUGGCACAAGAAAAAAUUGGGUCAUCACAAGAGACAAUAAUUUUUUCUCCACAAAAGCCGAAACCUAAGAGAUCAGUGGCAAAAAAACAGCACUCAAAACACUCACAAAAAAAGACACAACAGAAUAAAUAUAAAAAACUACAGCCAGAACGCUUUUUCCAGCAGGAAAAUUACAAACCAAAGACAUGCAACCAAUCAAAGAUUGAUGAAAUUAACGGGAUAAUUGAUAUUACAGAGGAAUCAGAGACAGUAAGUAGAAGCGAGAAAUCAACUGCUGUUUCAUUUGAGAACGACAGCGAAUUAGGAUAUGAUUCUGACAGAACCAUCAUAAUAGAGCCAAUCACGUGUAAUUCCACUGUUCCAGAUCAGAAUUUUAACUGUUUCUUUCAAAAAGGAGAAAACAAUCCCAGAGAUAAAAGAGUUACAGUGGAAAAUAUGCAACGAAAUAUUGACACGGAAAACCAAAAAGACACCUUGGCCGAUUUUCAUAUGCAUAAGACAGAGACUUUAUUCCAAAGAGGAAAUGAAAUGGUUAAAAACUCGGAAAAAGAUUUUUCGAUGAGUGACAAAAUAUCAUGUAAAGCAGGAUACUUGAAUUCCAAUGAUUAUCUUGAAGAAACAAGUCUCAGAGCUAUGGAUAAACAUACAACGGAAAACUGUUUCAAAACACAUAAUUAUAUUUCUGACUUCCAGCAUAACAAUGAAGCUGAUUUAUUUUUACAAGUUGAAGAAAGCAAUCUUUCUUCUGAAGCAUCAAAGUCGAAAUCUCCUAAUGCUGAUAAGGAGAAAUUUAUUAAUGCAAAUUUAGAUCAAGCUUCUGGAAGCACACUAAGGGGCAAUCAGAAGUCAUUUUGCUUGACUGAUCAAGAGACAAAUCUGCUUGAUAAGAAUGGUUUCCAGUUUGACGAAGAAAAUUACAAAGGCUGUAAUCAGACAAGAGAGACAAAUUCUGAAGGACAUUCAAUCAUAGAUCAGUCAUUUCUAAAUAGUAAUGUGAAAGGAAACAUGGUACUACAGGUGAAUAAUAUGGAAACAGUUGAAAAACCAUAUUCAUCCAGAAAAAACUUGUCACGACUCAUGCCAGUUACAAUUGUUGGUAAACAAAACUUAACAAAUUCAGUGAGAGCCUUCCCUCAGCAAAAACAAACCGGAAAGACAACAGAGAAAAUAUUUCGUACUUUCAAUGAUUUAUGUGAAGAUGAGUGUCUGUUUGAGCGUUCCUCUUAUUCUCUACCGAACAAAAAAAGAGAACUUUUAAACAAUCAAAACUUUCUUUUAAAUGACACAUCAAGGACAAAAUUCAAUCAAGAGCUAUUGCAGGCUAAUCAAACAUAUGUAAAUAAUGACUCCAAUGCCUGCACAUCUGAGGCCGAGGUACCAAAGGCUGAAUACCAUCUUCUAAGUCCUCUACGAAGAAACAUUGGAAAAGUAGAAAAAACUCCAAGACAAAACAAAGGAAAAAUGAAAGAGAAAUUGCGACACUUGAAAGGGCUCAUGGAUCAGAGUAAAAUACAGAGGGAGAAGAAAAUAGAUGAUAUUCGAGAGCUGGUUUUUGAGACAAACAUCUACAUCUAUGAUCUGAUUGAUUCCCUAAAACCCUUGAGAAAUGGAUGA
rnacentral:lncRNA from 1 species